rnacentral:piRNA from 1 species
GAGAAGUUGUUCUGGGCGUCACUCC